CCUGUUUAUCAAAAACAUGGCUCUUUGUUUUAAUACGAUAAGGAGUCGGACCUGCCCGGUGAAAAUAUUUUAACGGCCGCGGUACUCUGACCGUGCAAAGGUAGCAUAAUCAUUUGCCCUAUAAUUAAGGGCUAGUAUGAAUGGUUUGACAAGAGCAACACUGUCUCUACAAAAAUUUCUAGAACUUAAUGUUCAAGUGAAGAAUCUUGAAUUAAAUUAAUAGACAAGAAGACCCUAUCGAGCUUAAAAGAAUUAGGUAGAUUUUAUUAAAACUAUGUUUGUAUUUUUUUCUAUCUAAAAUUUUGGUUGGGGCGACUAAGGAACAACCAAAGCUUCCUAAAUACCUUUAACUUAUAAGUUUUGAUCCGAUUAUUUCGAUUAAAAGAAUUAGUUACCGUAGGGAUAACAGCAUAAUCCUUUUUGAGAGCUCACAUCGAAAAAUGGGUUUGUGACCUCGAUGUUGGACUAGAAUAUCCAGAAGAUGCAGAAGU
rnacentral:rRNA from 1 species